AGCGAACGUUAGCGGCGGGCCUAACACAUGCAAGUCGAGCGAGAAAGUGGCUUCGGCCAUCAGUAAAGCGGCGGACGGGUGAGUAACACGUAGGUAAUCUUCCCUUGAGCGGGGGACAACGUUUCGAAAGGAACGCUAAUACCGCAUACGUUUCCAGGGACCCUGGUCUCUGGAAGGAAAGCUAGGUCGCAAGAUCCGGCACUCGAGGAGGAGCCUGCGUCGCAUCAGCUAGUUGGUGGGGUAACGGCCUACCAAGGCGAAGACGCGUAGCUGGUCUGAGAGGAUGAUCAGCCACACUGGGACUGAGACACGGCCCAGACUCCUACGGGAGGCAGCAGUGGGGAAUAUUGGACAAUGGGCGCAAGCCUGAUCCAGCCACGCCGCGUGAGUGAUGAAGGCCUUCGGGUCGUAAAGCUCUGUGGGG
rnacentral:rRNA from 1 species